rnacentral:lncRNA from 1 species
GCAGCCCUCUCUCCCUCCACUACUUCGUGACACCCCGUAGAUAGUUCGGUACGGCAUGGCGAAGCCCUGCCAGAAUAGCUCUACCAUCAUCACCGCCACGCCGUCGUGCUGUCGGAGAAUUCAGCUACCUCUUCGUCUCUCUUGCUGGAUCAAGAAGACGGAGAUCGUCAUCGAGCUGUACGUGUGCUGAACACGAAGGUGUCGUUCGUUCGGCGCUAGAUCGGGACGGAUCGUGGGACGGCGGUGAUUUGGAUCGCGAAGACGUUUCACUACAUCAAUCGUGUUUCUUAAUGCUUCCCGUUUAGCGAUCUAUAAGGGUAUGUGAAUCUGAUCUCCCUUUUGUAGAUGGUCAUCACCAUGACAGAUCUUCGUGUGUAUAGGAAAGUUUUUGUUUCCCAUACAACGUUCCCCAAUACUUCACCCCUCCUCUUCGAGGCAACACCCAAUGCAAUAUACAAGUAGCAGAGGAUAAGACCUCCU